UGCUUGCUGAGGAAUAUAAUAUAUCCUGUUAAUUUAAGGCAGGCAGGGCUGCAGGGACCCAGCAGUGGCUACAGGCUGAAAAGCAGGCAAGGUGUCUGAAGCCUCGAAGCAAAGGAACUGGAGACCCAAGCAGACCAAAGCUGCAGCUCAGCUGAGGGAGGAGUAAAGGCCACGGGAGUUGAGCACCAGGUCCCCAAGGCAGAGCAUUCACUACUCGGCGACCCGGCGCCCUGCAUCAGCGUGAGCCCUCUUCGGUGGAGCGCAGAGCGCCUGCCCGC
rnacentral:lncRNA from 1 species